AUCACCUGUGGCCCCAGCGCCAAGCCCAGUGACCGGUGCGUAGUAGGUGCUCGGCAAAUGAUGGAUGUGAACACAAGUUUCAAACCACCUGUUGAAAGUCAAUAUGAAAGAUUUGGAAAGGAUCUGGAAGCUGGGGAUUGCUCUGCCUGGGAACAGGAGAGAUUAAGAGGCCUCAGAGAAGUGCUCCAGGAGGCAGAAGACUGCAUGCAAGAGACUGCACGAGGAAAGGUGCACAGUUCGAGUACGAAGCAGGGCUGCAGGAAGCGCUGUCUCAUGGGAAGACUGCAGGCGAAAGCAGGUGCCUGUGCUGAGGAACGUCAGUCUUCUCCUCUGCCUCCUUGGUGAGUUCUGCGGAAUUCCCUCCUGCUCAUUAUUCGGAAUGAAGUUAAUUUGAGCAGAGCUUGAAGGAAGCGUAGAGGAGGAAAGAGGU
rnacentral:lncRNA from 1 species